UUCCGGUUGAUCCCGCCGGAGGUCACUGCUAUCGGGGUUCGAUUAAGCCAUGCGAGUCGAGAGGGUUCGGCCCUCGGCGUACUGCUCAGUAACACGUGGAUAACCUGCCCUAGGGAAGGGGAUAAUCCCGGGAAACUGGGGAUAAUACCCUAUAGGUUACAGAUGCUGGAAUGCUCUGUAAUCAAAAGUUCCGGCGCCCUAGGAUGGAUCUGCGGCCGAUUAGGUUGUUGUUGGGGUAAUGGCCCAACAAGCCAGUAAUCGGUACGGGUUGUGGGAGCAAGAGCCCGGAGUUGGAUUCUGAGACAUGAAUCCAGGCCCUACGGGGCGCAGCAGGCGCGAAAACUUUACAAUGCGGGAAACCGUGAUAAGGGAACACCGAGUGCCAGCAUCAUAUGCUGGCUGUCCAGAUGUGUAAACUACAUCUGUUAGCAAGGGCCGGGCAAGACCGGUGCCAGCCGCCGCGGUAACACCGGCGGCCCGAGUGGUGACCGUUAUUAUUGGGUCUAAAGGGUCCGUAGCCGGUUUGGUCAGUCCUCCGGGAAAUCUGAUAGCUUAAC
rnacentral:rRNA from 1 species